UGCAAGUCGAACGGUAACAGGGAAGAGCUUGCUCUUUCGCUGACGAGUGGCGCACGGGUGCGUAACGCGUAUACAAUCUGCCUUCAAGCGGGGGAUAGCCCAUGGAAACGUGGAUUAAUACCCCAUGGUAUAUAGACUUCACCUGGAGACUAUAUUAAACAUUUAUGGCUUGAAGAUGAGUAUGCGUCCUAUUAGCUAGAUGGAGUGGUAACGGCACCCCAUGGCAACGAUAGGUAGGGGUCCUGAGAGGGAGAUCCCCCACACUGGUACUGAGACACGGACCAGACUCCUACGGGAGGCAGCAGUGAGGAAUAUUGGACAAUGGAGGCAACUCUGAUCCAGCCAUGCCGCGUGCAGGAAGACUGCCCUAUGGGUUGUAAACUGCUUUUAUACAGGAAGAAACCUCCCCACGUGUGGGGAGCUGACGGUACUGUAUGAAUAAGGAUCGGCUAACUCCGUGCCAGCAGCCGCGGUAAUACGGAGGAUCCAAGCGUUAUCCGGAAUCAUUGGGUUUAAAGGGUCCGUAGGCGGGUUUAUAAGUCAGUGGUGAAAGUCUGUCGCUUAACGAUAGAAUUGCCAUUGAUACUGUAGAUCUUGAAUCAUUAUGAAGUGGUUGGAAUGAGUAGUGUAGCCGGUGAAAUGCAUAGAUAUUACUCAGAACACCUAUUGCGAAGGCAGAUCACUAAUAAUGUAUUGACGCUGAUGGACGAAAGCGUAGGUAGCGAACAGGAUUAGAUACCCUGGUAGUCUACGCCGUAAACGAUGGUCACUAGCUGUCCGGCCUAAUUGAGGGCUGGGUGGCCAAGCGAAAGUGAUAAGUGACCCACCUGGGGAGUACGUUCGCAAGAAUGAAACUCAAAGGAAUUGACGGGGGCCCGCACAAGCGGUGG
rnacentral:rRNA from 1 species